GUUCCGCUGCUUUUGACCCGUCUUGGUGGCGAUGCGCAGCUGUGCAGUGUGGUGCUUCUGCGUUCCGCUGCUUUUGACCCGUCUUGGUGGCGAUGCGCAGCUGUGCAGUGUGGUGCUUCUGCGUUCCGCUGCUUUUGAUCCGUCUUGGUGGCGAUGCGCAGUUGUGCAGUGUGGUGCUUCUGCGUUCCGCUGCUUUUGACCCGUCUUGGUGGCGAUGCGCAGCUGUGCAGUGUGGUGCUUCUGCGUUCCGCUGCUUUUGACCCGUCUUGGUGGCGAUGCGCAGUUGUGCAGUGUGGUGCUUCUGCGUUCCGCUGCUUUUGACCCGUCUUGGUGGCGAUGCGCAGCUGUGCAGUGUGGUGUUCUGCGUUCCGCUGCUUUUGACCCGUCUUGGUGGCGAUGCGCAGCUGUGCAGUGUGGUGCUUCUGCGUUCCGCUGCUUUUGACCCGUCUUGGUGGCGAUGCGCAGCUGUGCAGUGUGGUGCUUCUGCGUUCCGCUGCUUUUGACCCGUCUUGGUGGCGAUGCGCAGCUGUGCAGUGUGGUGCUUCUGCGUUCCGCUGCUUUUGACCCGUCUUGGUGGCGAUGCGCAGCAGUGCAGUGUGGUGCUUCUGCGUUCCGCUGCUUUUGACCCGUCUUGGUGGCGAUGCGCAGCUGUGCAGUGUGGUGCUUCUGCGUUCCGCUGCUUUUGACCCGUCUUGGUGGCGAUGCGCAGCGUGCAGUGUGGUGCUUCUGCGUUCCGCUGCUUUUGACCCGUCUUGGUGGCGAUGCGCAGCUGUGCAGUGUGGUGCUUCUGCGUUCCGCUGCUUUUGACCCGUCUUGGUGGCGAUGCGCAGCAGUGCAGUGUGGUGCUUCUGCGUUCCGCUGCUUUUGACCCGUCUUGGUGGCGAUGCGCAGCUGUGCAGUGUGGUGCUUCUGCGUUCCGCUGCUUUUGACCCGUCUUGGUGGCGAUGCGCAGCAGUGCAGUGUGGUGCUUCUGCGUUCCGCUGCUUUUGACCCGUCUUGGUGGCGAUGCGCAGCUGUGCAGUGUGGUGCUUCUGCGUUCCGCUGCUUUUGACCCGUCUUGGUGGCGAUGCGCAGCUGUGCAGUGUGGUGCUUCUGCGUUCCGCUGCUUUUGACCCGUCUUGGUGGCGAUGGAUGCGCAGCUGUGCAGUGUGGUGCUUCUGCGUUCCGCUGCUUUUGACCCGUCUUGGUGGCGAUGCGCAGCUGUGCAGUGUGGUGCUUCUGCGUUCCGCUGCUUUUGACCCGUCUUGGUGGCGAUGCGCAGCUGUGCAGUGUGGUGCUUCUGC
rnacentral:rRNA from 1 species